GUGAGACCGGGAAUUAUGGAAUUCCUGCUUUUUCCCACGGAAAGGGUGGGAAAUGAAGGGAGGUUGGCCUCAAAAAUUGGAAUUUGGGGCUCUAAAAAUGUGGGAUUUGGGGCUUAAAACUGGAAUUUUGGCCACAAAAAUGUGAUUUAUUUUUUUUUUUCUCCUAAAAGUAUGAGUUUCUCCUAAAAAGGGGGUGGGUCUUAAAAACCAGGAUUUGGGAUCAAAAAAUGUGGGAUUUGGGCUUAAAAAUGAGGACUUUUGGCUCUAAAGAUCAGGGAUUUGACACUAAAAAUGAGGGAUUUUUUGCCUUAAAACUAUGAUUCUUUUCCCUAAAUUUGGGCGGGAUUUAUCCUAACAAGGAAGUGGAUCCUAAAAAUGAGGAUUUGGGAUCUGAAAAUGUGGGAUUUGGCCCGAAAAAUGAAAUUUAAGGCCCUAAAAAGGAGAAUUUCUGAAAAAUUUGGGUUGGAUCCUAAAAAUGAGGAAUUUUCCCACAAAAUAUGCAAGUUUAGAUCCUAAAAAUGGGAUUUUUCUCCCCAAAAACUGAGGUUGGAGGGUACAGAUGUGGAUUUUCCCUCAGAAAAUGUGGGGGUUGUCCCCAAAAGUGACAUUUUAGGGCCUAAAACUGGGAUUUUUUUUCCUGCAAAAACCUGAGAUUUUCCUCCUAAAAUCCUGUUUUUUUCUCCUUUUCCCUCCAGAUGGCAGCUCCAGUUCAGAAAAUUCCCAAGUCACCCCAAAUUCCCAGGAUUUCCUUCAGCCAGAAUUCUCCCCCCCAUCCCCUCCUCCACCCACUGUGGAUCCCCUUUACCCCCCAAACCCCGACGGGACAAUCCCAGAUCCUCCAGAAGAAGUCCUGGAAGCUCUGAGAAUUUUGGGAUACAAUUCCUUCCGGCCCGGCCAGGCCGAAGCCAUCAUGAGGGUCCUUUCUGGUUAGAUUUUCCUGCCCUUUUUCCAGUCUAUUUUUUCCUAUCCUUUUUCCCAUUUUUUUUUUCCUGCCUUUUUUUCCAUCUCUUUUUCCCCUCCAUUUUUCCUACUUUUUUUCCUGCCAUUUUCCUUUCCAUUUUUCCCAUCCUUUUUGCUGCUUUUUCUCUCAGUUUUUCCCACCCUUUCCCCCUCAGUUUUCCCGCCCUUUUCCCCUCAGGUUUUCCUGCCUUUUUCCCCUCAGGUUUUCCUGCCCUUUUUCCCACCAUUUUCCUCUCCAUUUUCCCCACCCUUCUUGCUGCUUUUUCCCUCAGUUUUCUCUCCCUUGUUCCCUCCAUUUUUCCCAUCCUUUUCCCUCAGUUUUCCCCAGCCUUUUCCCCUCAGAUUUUACCACCCUUUUCCCUUACAUUUUCCCCCCCCUUUUUCCUGCCAUUUUCCUCUCCAUUUUUCCCAUCCUUUUUGCUGCUUUUUCCCUCAGUUUUUCCCACCCUUUCCCCCUCAGUUUUCCUGCCCUUUUCCCCUCAGGUUUUCCUGCCCUUUUCCCCUCAGGUUUUCCCACCCUUUUCCCCACCAUUUCCUUCUCCAUUUUUCCCAUUCUUUUUGCUGCUUUUUCCCCUCAGUUUUCCCAUCCUUUUUCCCUCAGUUUUCCCCCCUUUUUCCCUCAGUUUUUCCACCCUUUUCCCCUCAGGUUUUCCUGCCUUUUUCCCCUCAGGUUUUCCUGCCCUUUUUCCCACCAUUUUCCUCUCCAUUUUUCCCACUCUUCUUGCUGCUUUUUCCCUCAGUUUUCCCUCCCUUGUUCCCUCCAUUUUUCCCAGCCUUUUCCCUCAGUUUUCCGCAGCCUUUUCCCCUCAGAUUUUACCACCCUUUUCCCUUACAUUUUUCCCACCCUUCUUCCUGCCAUUUUCAUCUUCAUUUUUCCCACUCUUUUUGCUGCUUUUUCCCUCAGUUUUCCCAUCCUUUUUCCCUCAGUUUUCCCUCCCUUUUUCCCUCAGUUUUUUCCACCAUUUUCCUCUCCAUUUUUCCCACUCUUCUUGCUGCUUUUUCCCCUCAGUUUUCUCUCCCUUGUUCCCUCCAUUUUUCCAACCCUUUUUCCUCAGUUUUCCCACCCUUUUCCCCUCAGAUUUUCCCAGCCUUUUCCCCCUCAGUUUUCCCACCCUUUUCCCCUCAGAUUUUACCACCCUUUUCCCUUACAUUUUUCCC
rnacentral:lncRNA from 1 species